GUGAAUCAAUAGUACACACAUGUGAACAAAUAGUUAUAAUCAUGUGAAUUAAUAGCAAUUAAUUGCUCAUUUAUCCGAUUAAUUACCCGACUGGUCAGUAAAACUUCCAGACAUCAAUUAAUAUCGGAAUAAAUGUCGAUUUUCACUAACACUAAUAAUUCCAACACAAUGUAACUAUCAAUUUCAUCUUUAAUCAACACGAACUUAUUCAUCAUUAAUAUUAUAACUCACAAUAUUUAAUAACCAG
rnacentral:lncRNA from 1 species